rnacentral:lncRNA from 1 species
GCAUAAGAUGUUUACGGCAGACUUCUGCUUUUGCUUCCUCAGGUUCCACCAACCUUCCUAGUCAAAAUAACCGGGAGAGUUGGUGGGUGAGCCGCUGGGCGUACGGCUGUCCAAUGUGUGGUGGAAGAUGGACUCGAGUUGCAUAGCGGGCUUCAUUGCAAAAUUGUCACCUGUGAGUUUCUUCUUGGUGGAGGAAAUAUACACAUGAUCGUGGUUAACUGAAGAAACUAAAUAUAGAUGAAAUGCUGAUUGGAAUUGUACAGGUAGAGAUGUAGAUGUGAGUUUCUUCUUGGUUGAGGGAAGAAACACAUGAUUGUGGUUAAGUAAAGAAACUGAAUGAAAAUGAAAUGCUGACUGGAAUUGUACAGGGAAGAAGAGGUGUAGGUUUACCUGACAGUGACAGGUGUGUUGUGUUUUAUGCAGUCAUUGUUGUUGAUCGAAUAAAACUGGAAAAAACUAGCUCUAGUUGUCAUCAAGACAUUUCAUUGACAUUAAACUCUUCAUAACACUUUGAUGUUGCAAGUGAGGGUGGUUUACAUCAUAGAACAAAUGAUGAGUGGAAGGAAGAGUUGUGUAUGUCUCUUUAUGUACUGCAGGGUUUAUGAAGAUAAAACAAUUUUUGAGUUAUUUAUUUACAGACCUUAAAACAUUUCAAGUAUCUCAACAUAGGUUUCUAACAUUUUAAAUGAUUAUCAAGAUCACUUAUGUAUUAUAUAAAUUUAUGGGUUUAUGAAGAUAAAACAAUUUUUGAGUUAUUUAUUUACAGACCUUAAAACAUUUCAAGUAUCUCAACAUAGGUUUCUAACAUUUUAAAUGAUUAUCAAGAUCACUUAUGUAUUAUAUAAAUUUAGUAAUCUUGACCAUAGAAACACUAAAUAUUAUACAAAUUUAUAGUCAACAUUAUUUAUUAUAAAUUAAGAAAAC